UACGUAGGGUGCGAGCGUUGUCCGGAAUUACUGGGCGUAAAGAGCUUGUAGGUGGUUUGUCGCGUUGUUCGUGAAAUCUCACGGCUCAACUGUGAGCGUGCGGGCGAUACGGGCAGACUAGAGUACUGCAGGGGAGACUGGAAUUCCUGGUGUAGCGGUGGAAUGCGCAGAUAUCAGGAGGAACACCGGUGGCGAAGGCGGGUCUCUGGGCAGUAACUGACGCUGAGGAGCGAAAGCCAGGGGAGCAAACGGG
rnacentral:rRNA from 1 species